UUUUAGUGUACUAAAAUUACUUUAACUAAUUUUAACUUUUUGAUUGCUAAAAAGACUUCACCCAGAUUUUAAGUUAAACAAGUGUUGGCUGUAUUGUAAAUAUAUAUAUAUAUAGUUUUUUUUUUUUUUUAUGCUGAGGAUUGAACCCAGGGCUUUGUGCAUGCAAGCCAAGCACUCUACCAAUUGAGCUAUAUCCCCAGCCCAGUUAAAUUGUUAAUAAGGCAUUCCUCAGCUUGAAAACACCCCACUUACAAAGUGUCCUUAUGCAAAUGGAGAACUUUGAGGGAGACUCCUGCAGAGCGUAAGCCGCAUCCCAAGAAACAUCCUAGACCAGUAAGAUCGGGAAAACAAGGCUUUGGAGGGCGGGGAUCUCUCCCUUAACACUAUUUUUGAUGGAAAAUGCUUUCUGAAUUGUUGGAACAAGCAUCCUAAAUUUUUUUUUCUAAAAAAAAGCCCAUCUAUGUUUGGGGCUUCCUAACAUUCUAAAAUGUUAGGAAUAUGAGUAUGACUUAGUGAUUGUGGUUUUAAAAUAUAUGAGUAUGACUUAGUGAUUGUGGUUUUAAAAUCACAUCUUCAAUGUGGUUUAAAAGAUUUUUUUUAUGUCAAAAAUAAAAAAAAAUCUGUAAACAAACAAAAUGCUCCAGAGAAUUAGAAUUUUUAUGUCAAUUCGGACAUUAAGAAGUCUUUGAGAAUAAAA
rnacentral:lncRNA from 1 species